GACGAACGCUGGCGGCGUGCCUAAUACAUGCAAGUUGAGCGAUGAAGAUUGGUGCUUGCACCAAUUUGAAGAGCAGCGAACGGGUGAGUAACGCGUGGGGAAUCUGCCUUUGAGCGGGGGACAACAUUUGGAAACGAAUGCUAAUACCGCAUAACAACUUUAAACAUAAGUUUUAAGUUUGAAAGAUGCAAUUGCAUCACUCAAAGAUGAUCCCGCGUUGUAUUAGCUAGUUGGUGAGGUAAAGGCUCACCAAGGCGAUGAUACAUAGCCGACCUGAGAGGGUGAGCGGCCACAUUGGGACUGAGACACGGCCCAAACUCCUACGGGAGGCAGCAGUAGGGAAUCUUCGGCAAUGGACGAAAGGCUGACCGAGCAACGCCGCGUGAGUGAAGAAGGGUUUCGGAUCGUAAAACUCUGUUGGUAGAGAAGAACGUUGGUGAGAGUGGAAAGCUCAUCAAGUGACGGUAACUACCCAGAAAGGGACGGCUAACUACGUG
rnacentral:rRNA from 1 species